rnacentral:lncRNA from 1 species
CGGUAUAGAUCUUGAGCAUAAAAAGUGAUUCGAAAAGCAAGAAUCCUUGGCAGUGAAAGUCUCUCAAAUGAAAAAAUGGGCUAAAACCACAAAAGCCAUAGAGUUCAAGCUAUAAAUGGGGGAAGAAUGUUUUUCUAACCCUAAUAUACUUCGAGUAUCACCUCGUUGUUCUUUAGAUCGAGUUAUAUAUUUUGUUUGCACGUAAAAUUUAUUGGGUUUCUCAAAAUGGUGAUUUUUUGUGCUGAGAAGCUGAUCGAUAACCCCAAGUUGAAUGGCAAUAAAGCUAGGGCCGCAAUUUGUCUCCACAUAUGUGCAAGAAAUGAAGGCGAUGAUGACGAUGACGAUGACGAUGACGAUGACUCAGGAAUUGCACCAGCAGCAUGAAUAUUUAUAUAAUUAAGUUUAAAUCAGUAGUCUCUUUUAAGAAAUAAGCAGCAUAUAUUUAUAUAUGUCUGUUGCUUAAGAUACUACUGUUAGUUUUCACUUUCUAAAUGCUUAAUUACUAGAAAUAUCAAUCAAACGUUGACUUCUGUACAAUGUUCUUGUUCUAGCUAGCUACUUGAUCAAUAACAUAUAUAACUUGUCUCUGUCUUACCUUGAUUUUAUACUACGCCUGUUUAUCCCGGAAUGCAACAUAGAAUUCUCCGUUGGACUGUGCCCUCCAAACGUGUUUGUUCCUCUCUUCUUCCUUACCCAAAGCAAUUUUUUUUCUUUUUCUAGAUAAAUCGACUACACUAGGUGGCCUAUUGUAUUAGAUCAUUAGAUGCAUGUGUGUACCUGUUGAACAUAAGGGCAAAAAUAUUUUCUAUCCUGUGUUCCUUUCUCCUGGCAUGAUAUUUUUCUGACCCUUUGUUUUAGCACUGUUUCUUUUUCAACCCUUUUCAGUUAAGAGGCAAUUUUUUUUCUUUUUCUAGAUAAAUCGACUACACUAGGUGGCCUAUUGUAUUAGAUCAUUAGAUGCAUGUGUGUACCUGUUGAACAUAAGGGCAAAAAUAUUUUCUAUCCUGUGUUCCUUUCUCCUGGCAUGAUAUUUUUCUGACCCUUUGUUUUAGCACUGUUUCUUUUUCAACCCUUUUCAGUUAAGAGGCAAUUGAGAUUUUAUUUCAACUGUCGCCUGCAUUUGGAGGUUUACUUUUCAAGGAAUGAGAAUAGUGGACGACAUUUUGUUACGUGCAAGUAUUCUUUACUGAAUCUACAGCAUGAAGCACCAUCUUUCUUUAAAAAUUGUUAAAGAAAAGCAUGGAAAUAUUGGGUGUAUCCCUACCUGGUGGAGUCCUUUAUUAGGAAUAACGGGAUGAAAAGGAUUAUCAAUCAAAAGGGAAAAAAGCCGUCUAUGUUUUGGUGCUUAAUGGAGUGAACCUGACGCCGCCAGGAUAUGGAGGAGGAUGGUUUGGAGCUGAUGUCACAAAUAAUAACCAUAAUGCUAAAUCUCGGAAGAGCAGUGAAGCAAGGUUUUAGGGCCCGUAUAUUAGUUAUGAGGAACUGAAGAGGCUGAGGACCAUACCAAACUAAUUAAUAUAGUGGCUUUUAUAAAGAACUAGUGACGAUGGUUCUAAAAUAAUGGGCCAAUUAAUAGAUGGGUUUUAGGCAAAAUACAUGCAUAAUAAAUUAAUGUUUCAACAUUUAUUUAGCUCUCACUUAAUAUGAAGUGACUCCAGGAUUAACAACUGGAGCAUCCCAAUGUCUUGGAGUCGGAGGCCAGCCUUUGUCAAAUGAAUAAUUCCAUAGGUACAAGGAAUUAUGAAUGGAAAUGAUACAAGUGCUACAUUGACAACCUCUGUAUGGUGCAUUUUCUGUGUUUGUUAUGUUAAAAACCAAUGAAAAAUUGUCAAAUGUCUUUCUAUAAGAAUUCUAUCAAACUUUUUGUGUACUGUGGAGUUGUGUUUCUCAAACCACACUUUCAUAAGUGAAAAUGUGAUUUUUCCUACUUGUAUUCCUAUGGACAGUUUGUACUUUUGCAUUGGUUAAUAAGUGGUCAAUCGAGUUGUGCUUUCUCUUGGCUAUUGUGGACCGUUGAUCGAAUCCUAAGGCUAAGAUUUAUACUUCAAUAAUUGAAGACUUUUGAGGGUUGGUGCAAAUCAAUCGGUCGAGCACUCUCUUUUGGAUGAAAUUGUCUCUUGUGUUUUCUCUCUCUUUGUGGUUCUCUCACCUCUACUUCUUCUUAUCUUCUUAGAUCUGGAAAACUUGUGUUUUUUGUGAUAAUCUUGUAGUUAUUUGAUGAUGGUAGAACAUUGGUACAGUAUUUUAGGCCUUGAUUGUGGCUGGCAAACCUGUAUUGUGUUCUUGGCAAGGUUUUGUCUAGUUUUGUGGGCUAGGUUCGAUUUAUUGAGAGAUCCUUGUGGAUCGAUGACCAUUUAGUAGGUCUAAUUUGGUUUUUCUCAACUGCUUGUAGACUCACUUGAAAGUUUCUUGUUAGUGAUGGACUUACCUCUGAGCCCCCCAGAUUAGGCCAUUUUCAGCUGAACUGGGUAAGCAAUCUUUGUGUUCGAUUUCUGUUCUUGCUUUGUUUUUACUAUAUUACAAUUACUUGUCGAUUUUAGGUCGAUUAUCCUAACAAAUUUGGUAUUAGAUCUCGAUUUUUGAGGCAUCUACAUGAUAUACCUUGCCCUGAGGAUACUAUAUGAGUGGAGGAAAGUAAACUGUCGCGCAUAUUCGGGUUUAUUUUUUUUAUCUGCAAUAUUGGGUUUUUUUUUUCAUUUUUUGAUUUUUAUUAUUCUAUCUAGAUCUUAAAGAUCUGCACAGACAUUUAAGGAGAUUAAUUUUUCGGUAAAAUGUAGGUUAAGAACUAAAGAUUGGUCAGCCCUUGACCGGUUCUAAUUUUGGUAUAAAUUUGGUAUUAGAUCUCGAUUUUUGAGGCAUCUACAUGAUAUACCUUGCCCUGAGGAUACUAUAUGAGUGGAGG